GACGAACGCUGGCGGCGUGCUUAACACAUGCAAGUCGAACGCUGAAGCUUGGUGCUCGCACUGGGUGGAUGAGUGGCGAACGGGUGAGUAAUACGUGAGUAACCUGCCCUUGACUCUGGGAUAAGCCUGGGAAACUGGGUCUAAUACUGGAUACGACAUGUCACCGCAUGGUGGUGUGUGGAAAGGGUUUUACUGGUUUUGGAUGGGCUCACGGCCUAUCAGCUUGUUGGUGGGGUAAUGGCUCACCAAGGCGACGACGGGUAGCCGGCCUGAGAGGGUGACCGGCCACACUGGGACUGAGACACGGCCCAGACUCCUACGGGAGGCAGCAGUGGGGAAUAUUGCACAAUGGGCGGAAGCCUGAUGCAGCGACGCCGCGUGAGGGAUGACGGCCUUCGGGUUGUAAACCUCUUUCAGCACGGAAGAAGCGAAAGUGACGGUACGUGCAGAAGAAGCGCCGGCUAACUACGUG
rnacentral:rRNA from 1 species